GCUAAAUCUCUUAAUACUAUCUGCUAAUGAAAAGUGCAUUGUAUAGGUACACAUCAUUUGAUAUGUUUUAGUCUUUUUUCUGUAGUGUGGCGGCGACUCUCUCUACGAUUUAGUUGAAAGUCUCCCGUGGCUGUGUUGCUGGGGACCGGGCCCUUGCCCAGCGCGUCGUCUCCUCAGUUUUGCGGCCAAAUCAUGUUUGUUCUGCCACGAUGGCACAUGGCAUCUAAUGAACUAUUGUGGGGGCGGGGGAGGAGCAGCAGAAGCAGCUAGCAGCAGUGGCAGCAGCAGCAGCAGCACGAAGGAGGAGACAGGGUCGCGGAGAUCAGUGUUGGCCGGGGUGUCGCACACAGUUUUGCUCGCCGGGCAACAAAUCAGCCAGCGACGACCAAAACCAGAAAUGAAGCUUCAGCUCUCCAGCUCUCCAGCCUCAGCUCCCAGCUUCGUGUUGUCGUUGUAAAAAUGUUUGCUUGCACGCUUUCCAUUGGUUGCCGCCGAUGUCUUGUUGUAGUUGUUGUUGUUGUUGUUGCAUCUGUUGGGUUGGUGCUGUAGCUGGUCGUGCUUUGCGGUCGUUGCCCCGCUGUGACGUCACCGGUUCAAUGGCAAAAUGUGACCCAGAUUGUCUGAGCUGCACAACUAAGCUAUGGAGCCCCGCAGUCCACAGCUGUGUGUGUGCUGAGCUGUCUGUGUUGGCCAUGUCUCUGGUCUCUCUCCUUGGCUCUUAAGAACAAAGAGCGGUCAAAGAGAGCGCUGGUCGCUCUCUUAGCUACUUCUAAGCAGAGCUUUGCGUUCGUUUCGGCUGUGCAGUGUAAGCCCUAUGAAAUAUUUUUUGGAACCGGCCCCAACUUUCUCCACAACUUGCCCG
rnacentral:lncRNA from 1 species